rnacentral:sRNA from 1 species
GCUGGACGUGGUGGCACAUGCCUGUAAUCCCAUCAGCUUGGAGGCUGAGGCAGGAGAAUUGUGAGUUCAAAGCCAGCUUCAGCAACUUAGUAUGCCUCUA